rnacentral:ncRNA from 1 species
AAAUCACACUUAGCCCUGAUACCUGCCUCCCGCAGUGGAAAUGGUGUCCUGGCCGCAGCCCAUGCGCUGCCAGGGUGCAGAAAGAAAUGCCUGCAUCUCCCGAACUGGAAAGGUGUGCCCG